rnacentral:misc_RNA from 1 species
AUGAAAUGCGAGGACGCUCUCUUUAGAGGUCCGACCCAAUUCAUUUUCUUACACAGUGCACGCUACUACUUUUAAACAACGUUUAACACUUAAAGUCUAAGGAUGUAAACAGUCUCUUGAUUGAGCAUAAAAUUGAAACA